UGGGGAAUUUUGGACAAUGGGCGAAAGCCUGAUCCAGCAAUGCCGCGUGUGUGAAGAAGGCCUUCGGGUUGUAAAGCACUUUUGUCCGGAAAGAAAUCCUUGGCUCUAAUACAGUCGGGGGAUGACGGUACCGGAAGAAUAAGCACCGGCUAACUACGUGCCAGCAGCCGCGGUAAUACGUAGGGUGCAAGCGUUAAUCGGAAUUACUGGGCGUAAAGCGUGCGCAGGCGGUUUGCUAAGACCGAUGCGAAAUCCCCGGGCUCAACCUGGGAACUGCAUUGGUGACUGGCAGGCUAGAGUAUGGCAGAGGGGGGUAGAAUUCCACGUGUAGCAGUGAAAUGCGUAGAGAUGUGGAGGAAUACCGAUGGCGAAGGCAGCCCCCUGGGCCAAUACUGACGUUCAUGCACGAAAGCGUGGGGGAGCAAACAGGAUUAGAUACCCUGGUAGUCCACGCCCUAACGAUGUCAACUAGUUGUGGGGAUUCAUUUCCUUAGUACGUAGCUACGCGUGAAGUUGACCGCCUGGGGAGUACGGUCGCAAGA
rnacentral:rRNA from 1 species